rnacentral:lncRNA from 1 species
GAGGUGAGAAUUGCCUCUUAAAUGCCAGCAAGCACGAAGAGAGCAAACCCAUAUAUUUCCCCUCCAAAUCUUUGAUUUGAGAAAUUUCAGCCAGCCCAGCUACCGUCAAUUUUUCGCUGUCCAGGACUGUAAACUUCAGAGCUAAAAGCAUUUAAUUGAGAAGACAGCAUCGCGCCUGGUGUAACUCACUUGUACAGUUUGCAUUUUCAACCUGAAAACAGAUACAACAGAGGGUAGCGAGUACUCGGCAGACCCUCCCAGCACACGCAGGAUAACCAGACCCACCUCUCUUGGCUGUACAGAAGUUCCUCACUCACAGGAGGAUGUUUUGACCCAGGCUCCAGCACCCUGCAGAGAACAGCAGCAGAUUUUGGAAGGACUUCACCAUCAAGCUCAUACCCAGAGCUCUCAACCAGCCCUCACAGGUGUUGGCACAAAAAAGGUGACGAGGGUAGCAAGGAGCGUGUCUGUACGCAGUAUGUACCCUCUUACCCGAUGGCAGCUCUGGCUUUCACAAGGGCUGACAGCCUUAACAUGGCAGGAAGAAAUCAAAGAUGCAAAGCGGAAAAAAAAAUUAGCCUGAAGUUCACCAGGCAAAGAUCCCUUCCACCACACCCUACUUUUGAAUGGACCUGAAAUCCUCAUGGAGAUUUCUGUUUAACAACAACAUUAUCUUAAAAUUACAUAAUGCCUUAUCGAGCCAGCACAUAUUAGUGCCCCAGCAAUAACAAUGAUUUAACUGCUACUGUGGGAAUUUCGUUAGAAGAGAGCUGGAGCUGACUGAGCACUGACCCGUGUCACCUUGCAGAGGGGCGAAGGGAGGAAAUGCAGAUGCUCGGGAGCAGCUGAACCACAGCUCCCACCUGGGCCUGUUUGGCCAGAGGGGCUGUUCCUUUGCACAGACCCCAGAGCAUGGGUUUGAUCUUUUGCAGGGGAGAGCACAAAAGAGAACCCUGUUGUGCAUGACCCUGAUGUAAAUGGCAGCAAGUAUGACCUCAGUGUCUUGUUUCCCUGGAUCUUUAGCCCUUGAAAAGCCCUCCUUUGC